AACCGGCAAUCAAAAGAUUCUUGAGAGAUGAGUUGUUAGAACCUUGCAUGUCUCCCUACAAUACUCCUAUUUUACCAAUCAGAAAGUCAGAUGGGACUUACGGAUUACUUCAAGAUUUAAGAGGCUUGAAUAAGCUCGUCCAGAGUAAAAUGAGCAAGACAACGACUUGGGCAUGUACAAGGAAGAAGCAGUGUAACACAGG